GUGGAUUAGUGGCGAACGGGUGAGUAACACGUGGGCAAUCUGCCCUUCACUCUGGGACAAGCCCUGGAAACGGGGUCUAAUACCGGAUAACACUCUGUCCCGCAUGGGACGGGGUUAAAAGCUCCGGCGGUGAAGGAUGAGCCCGCGGCCUAUCAGCUUGUUGGUGGGGUAAUGGCCUACCAAGGCGACGACGGGUAGCCGGCCUGAGAGGGCGACCGGCCACACUGGGACUGAGACACGGCCCAGACUCCUACGGGAGGCAGCAGUGGGGAAUAUUGCACAAUGGGCGAAAGCCUGAUGCAGCGACGCCGCGUGAGGGAUGACGGCCUUCGGGUUGUAAACCUCUUUCAGCAGGGAAGAAGCGAAAGUGACGGUACCUGCAGAAGAAGCGCCGGCUAACUACGUGCCAGCAGCCGCGGUAAUACGUAGGGCGCAAGCGUUGUCCGGAAUUAUUGGGCGUAAAGAGCUCGUAGGCGGCUUGUCACGUCGGAUGUGAAAGCCCGGGGCUUAACCCCGGGUCUGCAUUCGAUACGGGCUAGCUAGAGUGUGGU
rnacentral:rRNA from 1 species